rnacentral:rRNA from 1 species
CACGUAGGGCGCAAGCGUUGUCCGGAAUUAUUGGGCGUAAAGAGCUCGUAGGCGGUCUGUUACGUCUGCUGUGAAAACCCAGGGCUUAACCCUGGGCUUGCAGUGGAUACGGGCAGACUAGAGGCAGGUAGGGGAGAAUGGAAUUCCCGGUGUAGCGGUGAAAUGCGCAGAUAUCGGGAGGAACACCGGUGGCGAAGGCGGCGAUCUGGGUCGAUACUGACGCUGAGGUGCGAAAGCGUGG